rnacentral:rRNA from 1 species
ACGGCGGACGGGUGAGUAACACGUGGAUAACCUACCUAUAAGACUGGGAUAACUUCGGGAAACCGGAGCUAAUACCGGAUAAUAUAUUGAACCGCAUGGUUCAAUAGUGAAAGACGGUUUUGCUGUCACUUAUAGAUGGAUCCGCGCCGCAUUAGCUAGUUGGUAAGGUAACGGCUUACCAAGGCGACGAUGCGUAGCCGACCUGAGAGGGUGAUCGGCCACACUGGAACUGAGACACGGUCCAGACUCCUACGGGAGGCAGCAGUAGGGAAUCUUCCGCAAUGGGCGAAAGCCUGACGGAGCAACGCCGCGUGAGUGAUGAAGGUCUUCGGAUCGUAAAACUCUGUUAUUAGGGAAGAACAAAUGUGUAAGUAACUAUGCACGUCUUGACGGUACCUAAUCAGAAAGCCACGGCUAACUACGUGCCAGCAGCCGCGGUAAUACGUAGGUGGCAAGCGUUAUCCGGAAUUAUUGGGCGUAAAGCGCGCGUAGGCGGUUUUUUAAGUCUGAUGUGAAAGCCCACGGCUCAACCGUGGAGGGUCAUUGGAAACUGGAAAACUUGAGUGCAGAAGAGGAAAGUGGAAUUCCAUGUGUAGCGGUGAAAUGCGCAGAGAUAUGGAGGAACACCAGUGGCGAAGGCGACUUUCUGGUCUGUAACUGACGCUGAUGUGCGAAAGCGUGGGGAUC